CAAUAGUUUCAGAAGGAAUGGUACCAGCUUCUCUUUGUACCUCUGGUAGUAUUUGGCUGUGAAUCCAUGAAGUCCUGGACUUUAGGUGUGUAAGAACUUGCUUUAUGAAUCUGGGUGCUCCUGUAUUGGGUGCAUAUAUAUUUACGAUAGUUAGCUCUUCUUGUUGAAUUGAUGCCUUUACCAUUAUGUAAUGCCCUUCUUUGUCUCUUUUGAUCUUUGUUGGUUUGAAGUCCAUUUUAUCAGAGACUAGAAAUGCAACCCCCCCUUUUUUUUUUGUUUUCCCUUUGCUUGGUAGAUCUUCCUCCAUCCCUUUAUUUUGAGCCUAUGUGUGUCUCUGCACAUGAGAUGGAUCUCCUGAAUACAGCACACUGA
rnacentral:lncRNA from 1 species